rnacentral:lncRNA from 10 species
GUUUCUCUGGAGAACCCUGACUAAUACAGAAGGAGAGAGGGAAGAAAGGCGGGUUGAGUAGCAGAAAGCUUAGGCUGUAGCACAAUUCCGAUAAAGUUUAAGGUCAGCUGAUGAAGAACACUCAAACCAAAGUCGCCCAUUGGAGGAGCCCCCUACCUCACAGGAAUAGGCCUGCAUUAUUAGUAUACCUUCUUCAUUCAGUUAUUGUUAUUCUUAUGGAAACAACCCAUGGGAAAUGUAGCCUUGGCAUGACUGUAUCAAUGGAUUCAGAGAGCAGUAGCGGGGACCCCCCCAGUCAAUUACGUUCCACAGCAAGAGAUCUCAGUGGUGCAUAUCCACUGCUGGCUCAGUCCACCCCUUGGGCUGCACAGCUCUAUUCAGGCCUAGCUGCCAGGAAGAUUACUAGGUAUCAUUGUCAACUCAGGCUCUGUGCCCAGUAAACCUGGAAAUGUCUGGAUAUUCUUCCUUGCCAGCAUAUAGUCAUAAAUCUAUUUGGGGAAGAACUUGCCAUUUCAUCAAAGUCUGUACAUGUAUAGCAGGGUUCUUCCUCCUAGUGACCUGUGACCUAGUAACCCAGCCACCUAUGGGUUCUUCCAUCUGUGGCUUCCUUACCUGAAAAGUGCUUCAGGUCUAGGAACUGAGAAAGGGAUUGUGAUGUGUCAUUGGAGCCAGUGCGGUUCCAUUCGUGCCUUAUUUGGUUAUAGGCGUUAAGCAGCAUUCUUGUUAGAUGCCCAUCUAUUUUGCCUAUAGGGGUGUUACUUUCAAUUAAUUAUCUCCUAAACACCCUGUGAAUCAAACCCCCUUAACUACCCCUCCAAUUUCACCAGUUGUUAUAGUAAUUAUGGCCUCUUGACUUUUGGUAAUUAAGCACUAGUCCUCCAGAGCCCUCUAUUACUUGAGGGUCCAUUACCCCUGAAUCAUAUUAACAAUCCCAGCUCUGUGACCACCUCAUUUACCAUCAGCCCUGGUCUAAAGAGUAAAGCCACUACUGCACUUAGUGAUACUGGUACCUUCUCACAGGCUCAUUCUUGGUGGCCUUAGUGAAUUGUCACUAUUUCAUGACAUAUUCAUCACAGUAUAUCCAUCACAUAUUCAUUCAUCUGACCCUUAUGAAGGUGUGAUGGUUAAUUUCAUCACAGUACAUACAUGCCAUUGUAUAGCAGGUCCUUAACUAAUAUAGCAACACCAACGUUCUCAGGCAGAACCAAUAGACCCUGUUGAAGGGCAGGCAAGCCCAGAGCAAACCAUCUAUAUGCAGUUCUUUUAACAGCCUGCAAGGCACUGUAAGAUUAGGGAGACGUUUAUCGAAUUAUGUUCUGUGGAAAACUAGUUCCAUAGGAUAUGAACUGAUGUCAGGAGAAAAAUUAAAUUAGAAAUUUGCUUCAGUGCCAGAUUCUCAAAGCCAUUCGUAUGUGAAUGUUUAGUGCAACUCUCCAAAAGAGAUGAUUUGAUGUGUUACAUGUGGCAGUAGUAUGAUGUGCAGCCCAGAUCCCCCUUCAAAGAACGGCUUGCUCCCCACUUGCUGGGUGUGAUGUUAGCAGGCAGCCUGCAGCUGUCAGCCCUCUUCAGGAAUUGGCAUAGCUGUAGAAAACCACUUCACCUAAGGUCACACUUUUUUGUGGAGUGGCCCAUAGCCAAGGAUUGAUCAGUGUGGAGAUACAAAGUUGUUCUCUUGCCCAUCUGAGGACAUCUCCGAGGGCCGUUUUAACUCCAGAGCUCCCUGUGGGGUUGGCCAAGGCUGUCAUUGGACCUACAUUAUAACUCAUUUUCUCCCAAUUCCGCUUCUCUCUCUCUUUGAACAAAUGUUUGGCAAAAGGCACUUCUUAAUAAAUAUCCUGCAAUUAAAGUAUAUCUCAGAAUCUGCAUCCUGGAGAAUACUGUCUGAGACACCCCACUUUCUAAUUUUGUUUGCCCAUCAAAGCCCAUUCCCCGCCCCCCUUUUUUUUUUGACAGAGGCUUCUUCUUUCACCUGGAAGGGAGUGCAGUGGUGCAAUCUCGGCUCACUGCAGCCUCUGCCUCCCAGGCUCAAGCAAUUAUCCUGCCUCAGCCUCCCGAGUAGCUGGGAUUACAGGUACCCACCACCACGCCUGUCUAACUUUUUGUAUUUUUAGUGUAGAUGGGGGUUUCACCAUGUUAGUGAGGCUAGUCUCAAAUUCCUGACCUCAAGUGAUCCGCCCGCCUGGGCUUCCCAAGUGCUGGGAUUACAGGUGUGAGCCACUGUGCCUGGCCUAAAACCCUUUUUCAUAGAGUACCUAACAAGAGUAGGCCUUAAGAAAUAUAUUCUGGAUGCUGGUAAGUGCAGGUGUGAGAACUAAGUACCUAUGUGGAAAGUAAGGGGAGGGGUACCCGAGACUUAAAUCUCAGCUUAUGAAUUCCUUUGAGAUUUGAAACUAGCUUAAUUUUGAUGUGUAACUCUAAUGCUUAAAGUACUGCAGGAUCUACUAUCUAUGGAGGUGCUACGGAGAGGAUCUAAAUAUUAUGUGACCUAUGCAAAUAAAUUUUCUUUUCUCUGU